AGGCUCGUGUAAAUUUCCCACUAGGGGUAUUUUUGAAGUUGAGCCUCAUUUCCAUAAACAUGUAGAAGAACAAGCAGAAAAUGGUUGAGAACAGAAGGAAACGAUCUCUUAUACUCCAGCAUUCAGACCCAUUGAAAUGACCUUACUUGAACAAUGUUUAGGAUCCAUGAUCAACUGGAAGAAAGACUGCAACUUUAAAAGAGGGAGAUAUUGUGUAGUGAAAUAUAAAGCACCAAGCGGGGAUAGCUCAGUUGGGAGAACGUCAGACUGAAGAUCUGAAGGUCGCGUGUUCGAUCCACGCUCAC